ensembl:lncRNA
CGUGUCCAUGGCAACAGACGUAUGCCUGUCCUGCAGAGCGGUCAGGGGCCAGUGCCACCCUGUACUUUCCUGCCUCCCACAAGCUACUGGGCUGCAGGUCGACGGUACUGUCACUUUGUCUCACUGAGGGCUUCCCGACAGACCUGGGAACCACUUGCUCCCAUUUUACAGCUGAAGCUCACAGAGGAAGCGGGAUCCCAUCUCGGACAGCGCAGACAGCAGCUACCUCCAAGACUCGGCGUCUACCUCUCCCCUCUUCUGCCCCCCUUCCCCCCGCCAAACGGAGCACAGAGGAAGGGAAGACUGAACCUCAUCUACAGGGCUCUGGGCCAACCAGAAUGGGUAGCUGACUUCUCAGAGGCACUCAGGGCUGGGCUGGCAGGAUUGUGGCAGCUGUGUUCUACUGGUGGAUAUUAGGCAGAUGAUCAAACCCUCUGGGUGCCCCCAGGCAAAUGGAUAUGAAGGCAUUUCCUGUGCGACCAGGAAGGGCUGGCUACUGCCUCAGACAGACAGCCUCUCUCUGCAUGGUUGGUUCUCUCUGAAGCGGUGAUGAGAUCCUCCAAUUCAGAUGACAAAUGGAGAAUGCACAUGCAGUGUAAGAUGCUCUGCAAGCCCUGCCGCCAGCCAUCUCCCACCCUCUGAAGGCCAACCCCUGGCCACUCACAGCCUAGUUAGGGCUACCCCUGCAGGACUCGCCAUGACUGAGGGACCAGCCAGCCUCAAGCCACCUGGAGUCAGCUUUGCUAUUUCCUCUAGAGCCAGGAAAUGCAGUUUUCUUCAGGUGAGUCAAGGCAGAAAGUCUAGUGAACACCACAGCAUAAAAAGAGCCUGCCAGCCAACUGUCUUCUGUUCCCACCCCCAGAGGUGCCAUCUCAGCAUCCACACUGCUCUAAGUUGUAUCACCCAGCCACAGAGCUGUUCAGACAAUUCCUUGAUUAAACAACACUGCCUUCUUCAGUUUACAUUUUAUUUUACAAAAAGAGAAAUAAAGAAAACUGAUAGGCAGUUAUACUGACUUACAAUUGUUCUGUUUGCUUUUUUAAAAAAGUGACAUGAAACACAAGUAAAAAUAAAUACGUCAUAGAAACAGCCAGUUGCCCAGUCUCUAGGGCAGGAGCACCUGCCCUGCUGAGAGAGGAGGGAAGCCCGUGAUCACACCAGCAGCUGGAGCACUCAGCUACAGGUGCUCCUCAAAGCCAGGCGCAGGUCCCAGGCCUCAGGGGGCGUCCUGAGGAAAGAAGACGGAAAACCAAAGCCAGGUGCCAG